rnacentral:siRNA from 1 species
GGAUGAUGGCGGACAUUGACGA